rnacentral:rRNA from 1 species
AUAGCGUAUAUUUAAGUUGUUGCAGUUAAAAAGCUCGUAGUUGGAUUUUGGUUAAGAGGGCGCGGUCGGCCGUUUGGUCUGUACUGCGUUGUCUUGACUUCCUGAUGAGGACAUGCUCUUGGUUAACGCUGAGACAUGGAGUCAUCGUGGUUACUUUGAAAAAAUUAGAGUGUUCAAAGCGGGCUUACGCUUGAAUAUAUUAGCAUGGAAUAACACUAUAGGACUCCUGUCCUAUCUCGUUGGUCUCGGGAUGGGAGUAAUGAUUAAGAGGAACAGUUGGGGGCAUUCGUAUUUCAUUGUCAGAGGUGAAAUUCUUGGAUUUAUGAAAGACGAACUUCUGCGAAAGCAUUUGCCAAGGAUGUUUUCAUUAAUCAAGAACGAAAGUUGGGGGCUCGAAGAUGAUUAGAUACCGUCCUAGUCUCAACCAUAAACGAUGCCGACUAGGGAUUGGUGGAUGUUAAUUGAUGACUUCACCAGCACCUUAUGAGAAAUCAAAGUUUUUGGGUUCCGGGGGGAGUAUGGUCGCAAGGCUGAAACUUAAAGGAAUUGA